CGGUCGUACUCCCCAGGCGGUGUGCUUAAUGCUUUCGCUGCGACACUGAAAACUAAGUUUCCAACGUCUAGCACACAUCGUUUACGGCAUGGACUACGAGGGUAUCUAAUCCUCUUCGCUACCCAUGCUUUCGUUCCUCAGUGUCAGUAAUGAUCCAGAAAGUUGCCUUCGCUUUUGAUGUUCUUUCUAAUAUCUACGAAUUUCACCUCUACACUAGAAAUUCCACUUUCCUCUAUCAUACUCUAGCUAAAAAGUUUUGAUGGCAGUUCCAAGGUUGAGCCUUGGGAUUUCACCAUCAACUUUUUUAACCACCUGCGAACUCUUUAAGCCCAGUAAUUCCGAACUACGCUAGGUCCCUUCGUAUUACCGCGGCUGCUGGCACGAAGUUAGCCGGACCUUCUUAUUCGGGUACAGUCAUUUUCUUCCCCGACGAAAGAGUUUUACAACCCAAAGGCCUUCUUCACUCACGCGGCAUCGCUGCAUCAGGGUUGCCCCCAUUGUGCAAGAUUCCCCACUGCUGCCUCCCGUAGGAGUUUGGGCCGUGUCUCAGUCCCAAUGUGGCUGGUCUUCCUCUAAGAACAGCUAUUGAUCGUUGCCUUGGUAAGCUAUUACCUUACCAACUAGCUAAUCAAGUGCGGGCUCAUCUUUUGGCAUUAAAACUUUCCCUGUAAAGGCUUAUCCGGUAUUAGCACAAGUUUCCUCGUGUUAUUCCAGACCAAAAGGUAGAUUCCCACAUUAUACUCACCCGUUUGCCACUCAGUAUUGCUACUGCGUUCGACUUGCAUGUGUUAGGCGUGCCGCCAGCGUACGUUCUGAGCCAGGAUCAAACUCU
rnacentral:rRNA from 1 species